rnacentral:ncRNA from 1 species
GCAGAGUAGGAACUGACGCGUUAAGUGGCGGGCGAACGGGAAGUUGUCGCCUGCACGAAAAGCAACAAAAAAUUGCUUGCGGUGUCUUUUCCGCAUUCCGCUGC